UCGGCCUUUUGGCUAAGAUCAAGUGUAGUAUCUGUUAUUAUCAGUUUAAUAUCUGAUACGUGAGUCAUUGACUCACAUGAUAUUAAAUUAGUUUUUUGAGGGGGAAGAGCAGCUGCAAUAGCUUGCUAUUGGGUUCUUCGAGCGUCGUCCAUGCGUUGCACUACUGCGAGGACCCGGCGCACCCCACCAACUCAUAAUUUAAGUUUUCAAAUGACACUAGCCCUUACCAGUGAGAGAUCGCCGGGCCUGGUAACGCGGGCUUGUCACUCAAGUGGGGGCAUUAAGAUGGCUGGAGGUUGGAAAGGUUCGGAAGGUUGGUCUGCGAAGGGUUUAAAAUCUGAUCCGCCCGUUCCAAGAGGAGAGUUGAGUUGCGUGCCCUCCAGCGCGUAGGCUUGGGGCUCGCCUCUCUUAGAGCGGAGGGGACCGCGUGAGGCUGGAAACAGAGCAACGAAAACCUCCCGCUCUCUUUAGUGGAAGGAUUACGGGCCGGUGCUCUUCAGGUCCAUUAACGCCUGAUUGGACCCUCCUCAAUUCAACAACCAUCUUUUUUAUUCUGCUCUUUGGAAUUUUAAUUCUAAUGAAAAUAUUUAUUGCAUA